rnacentral:rRNA from 1 species
UACGAAGGGGGCUAGCGUUGCUCGGAAUCACUGGGCGUAAAGGGUGCGUAGGCGGGUCUUUAAGUCAGGGGGGAAAUCCUGGAGCUCAACUCCAGAACUGCCUUUGAUACUGAAGAUCUUGAGUUCGGGAGAGGUGAGUGGAACUGCGAGUGUAGAGGUGAAAUUCGUAGAUAUUCGCAAGAACACCAGUGGCGAAGGCGGCUCACUGGGCACCACCUGACGCUGAGGCGCGAAAGCGUGGGGAGCGAACCGG